CACACGCGCGUGAACCCUAGCCGAUCCAGAUCCCUCCCCGCCCCCACUCCUCUCCCCGAUCCAGAUCCCAUCGCCGCCGCCCCGCCCUCUCUGGGAUCCACCACUUCCGGUGACGGCGAGGCCAGAUCACCGCCGCCAACUCCAUCAGGCAGAGCUCACUGCCAUCCUCACCCGCGCCCUUAAUCACCACAUCGCCACUCCGUCCCCACUCCUCUCGAUCCCUUCCCCCUCCUCUCCGCAGUCUUCUCCUCGCGACGCCCCACCCUCCACGCGCUCGCCCGCCUCUGUGGCUCCGUCGAUGCUGAGAUCUCCCAGUGCGUCGAGAAAGCGGAGGCAGCGAAGCAGGAGAAGAACCAGACCACGGUCAUCACGCUCAACAUCGAGAUCCGCCGCGCCAAGGCCAAGUUCCUCGAGGAGGACCUGCCCAAGCUGCAGUGCCUCGCGCUCAAGAAGGUACUUGUGUGGUGAGAAGCAACCUCCGGCUGAUCAUCAGGGUCAUGGCGCCCCCUCACCCUAUGCAUUUGAUGGCUCAUAGCGGGGACUUGGAUUGCAUCCAAAAGCUGCUUGCGUGGGGAGCUGAUCGGCUCCAAAGGGACUCUGCUGGGGGGAGAACUAGAUCCCUGCCAUGGUCUUGCCUUACACAUUGUUGGUCUGCUGAAUUUUUGUGCUAUGAGGUCGCUAUCAAUAGCUUCUCUUGCCUAAUGCAUGAUCACGUUAUCUUGGUCUUGUACAUAUGCUAGCAGAAGCUCAAGGUGAAGAAGGCCAUCGAGAAGGGCAACACCGACGGCGGCCAGAUCCAUGCCGAGAACGCCAUCUGCAAGCACACCGAGCACAUGAACUACCUCCGCCUCGCCUCCCGCCUCGCCCCAUACGCCCAUGAGUGAUAUAUACUACUUGCCUGCUGCUAUAUCAUAUUGCUUACUUUUUUACAUCAGAUCAACUAUGAAGAGAAUUGGUGGUGGUUAGGGUGUUUUGGUGCUUAUGUAAUCUUCUUUCAGGCCUUUCGCGAUAGAUUUCUUUAGCUGACAUGUUUAGCAAAUGCUACAGUGCUUAUGGUUUAGUUUUACACCUGCGUAAAAAUGAAUGGCUGCUACCGUUUCUAGUUUUAGGUUGGGAUGAGAUGCAUGUUUGCAUGCUUGUGCUUCUGUCACUACAAUCUAUACUACUGCUAUUGUCAUAUCCUCGUUGUUUUGUUGCUACUAAUAUUUGUCCCAUGUUUUGUUUCCUUGCAUGCUUACUACUACAAUUUAUACUGCUACUAUUGUGCAAGAUGUUCACAUGUUAAUUUGACUAAAAUCUCUUAUGUCGUUCACUUAGCUUGACCCAGAACAGCAGCAUCCUUGAUGCGACUAACCUUCACCUAGUUCUUUCUCUCGCAGACUCGAAGGAGGCCGUAUGCAAGGCACCAAGGUGCAUGGUCCUCGCAAGCGAGGAACGGAGGAUGUUCGACAUCGGCUACGCAAACCACCAUUGUGAGCUCCUCCCUUUGCUAUGGAGCUCCAGGUCUAUGAAAUUUGAAGUUUGAAGCCAUAUAGUAUAGCCCUACUCGGCAAAGAGUUGUCGCUUAUGUUUGAAUGUAAUAGACCGUAAUAUUGUAAUAUUGUAACAGUAGGAAUAUUGGGGUUGUAAUAGACUAUGUACAGAUUGUAGUAGACUUAGUGUUAUUUGAUGAACUACAUUUCUACUGUUGGGUCUGAAAUAUUGAUUAUGUAUGUGAUUUGAAAAUGUGUGGAAUGGAAACCUGACUUGUG